AAAAUUAGAGUGUUCAAAGCGGGCAGAUAUUUUUCCUGCCACCGAAUACAUUAGCAUGGGAUAAUGGAAUAGGACCCUGACCUCCUAUUUUCAGUUGGUUUUGUUUACAGCGAGGUUAUAUCAGGGUAAUGAUUAAUAGGGAUAGUUGGGGGCAUUAAUAUUUAAUUGUCAGAGAGGUGAAAUUCUUGGAUUUAUGAAAGAUUAACUUCUGCGAAAGCGUUUUGCCAAGGAUGUUUUUCAUUAAUCAAGAACGAAAGUUAGGGGAUCGAAGACGAUCAGAUACCGUCGUAGUCUUAACCAUAAACGAUGCCGACCAGCGAUUAGGAGACGUUGAAUACAAACACCGCUGUUAAUCCUUUCGGGGGUUAAUAGUUGGUGAA
rnacentral:rRNA from 1 species